rnacentral:rRNA from 1 species
GGGGAGCAAACAGGAUUAGAUACCCUGGUAGUCCACGCCGUAAACGAUGUCGAUUUGGAGGUUGUGCCCUUGAGGCGUGGCUUCCGGAGCUAACGCGUUAAAUCGACCGCCUGGGGAGUACGGCCGCAAGGUUAAAACUCAAAUGAAUUGACGGGGGCCCGCACAAGCGGUGGAGCAUGUGGUUUAAUUCGAUGCAACGCGAAGAACCUUACCUGGUCUUGACAUCCACAGAACUUUCCAGAGAUGGAUUGGUGCCUUCGGGAACUGUGAGACAGGUGCUGCAUGGCUGUCGUCAGCUCGUGUUGUGAAAUGUUGGGUUAAGUCCCGCAACGAGCGCAACCCUUAUCCUUUGUUGCCAGCGGUUCGGCCGGGAACUCAAAGGAGACUGCCAGUGAUAAACUGGAGGAAGGUGGGGAUGACGUCAAGUCAUCAUGGCCCUUACGACCAGGGCUACACACGUGCUACAAUGGCAUAUACAAAGAGAAGCGACCUCGCGAGAGCAAGCGGACCUCAUAAAGUAUGUCGUAGUCCGGAUUGGAGUCUGCAACUCGACUCCAUGAAGUCGGAAUCGCUAGUAAUCGUAGAUCAGAAUGCUACGGUGAAUACGUUCCCGGGCCUUGUACACACCGCCCGUCACACCAUGGGAGUGGGUUGCAAAAGAAGUAGGUAGCUUAACCUUCGGGAGGGCGCUUACCACUUUGUGAUUCAUGACUGGGGUGAAGUC